UAAGCGGAGGAAAAGAAACUAACAAGGAUUCCCCUAGUAACUGCGAGUGAAGCGGGAAAAGCUCAAAUUUAAAAUCUGGCGGUUCUUGCAGCCGUCCGAGUUGUAAUUUAGAGAAGUGUUAUCCGCGCUGGACCGUGUACAAGUCUCCUGGAAUGGAGCGUCAUAGAGGGUGAGAAUCCCGUCUUUGACACGGACUACCAGGGCUUUGUGAUGCGCUCUCGAAGAGUCGAGUUGUUUGGGAAUGCAGCUCAAAAUGGGUGGUAAAUUCCAUCUAAAGCUAAAUAUUGGCGAGAGACCGAUAGCGAACAAGUACCGUGAGGGAAGGAUGAAAAGAACUUUGGAAAGAGAGUUAAACAGUACGUGAAAUUGUUGAAAGGGAAACGCUUGAAGUCAGUCGCGUCGACCGAGACUCAGCCUUGCCUCGGCUUGGUGUACUUCUCGGCUUGACGGGUCAGCAUCGAUUUCAAUCCUCGGAUAAUGGCAAGGGAAAGGUAGCACCUUUUUAGGUGUGUUAUAGUCCUCUGUCGCAUGCGAGGGUCGGGAUCGAGGAACUCAGCACGCACCUCAGGGUGUCGGGGCCUUGGCCCACGUUUACGUGCUUAGGAUGCUGGCGUAAUGGCUUUAAACGACC
rnacentral:rRNA from 1 species